rnacentral:rRNA from 1 species
CCUACGGGUGGCAGCAGUGGGGAAUAUUGCACAAUGGGGGAAACCCUGAUGCAGCGACGCCGCGUGAGUGAAGCAGUAUUUCGUUAUGUAACGCUCUAUCAGCAGGGAAGAAAAUGACGGUCCCUGCGUACGAAGCACCGGCUACAUACGUGCCAGCAGCCGCGGUAAUACGUAGGGGGCACGCGUUAUUCGGCUUUACUGGGUGGAAAGGGAGCGUAGACGGCAGUGCAAGUAUGGAGUGAAAGGCUGGGGCUCAACCCCCGGACUGCUUUGGAAACUGUACGGCUGGAGUGCAGGAGAGGUAAGUGGAAUUCCGAGUGUAGCGGUGAAAUGCGUAGAUAUUAGGAGGAACACCAGUGGCGAAGGCGGCUUACUGGACUGUAACUGACGUUGAGGCUCGAAAGCGUGGGGAGCAAACAGGAUUAGAUACCCGUGUAGUC